rnacentral:rRNA from 1 species
AUUGAACGCUGGCGGCAGGCCUAACACAUGCAAGUCGAGCGGAUGAAGGGAGCUUGCUCCUGGAUUCAGCGGCGGACGGGUGAGUAAUGCCUAGGAAUCUGCCUGGUAGUGGGGGAUAACGUCCGGAGACGGGCGCUAAUACCGCAUACGUCCUGAGGGAGAAAGUGGGGGAUCUUCGGACCUCACGCUAUCAGAUGAGCCUAGGUCGGAUUAGCUAGUUGGUGGGGUAAAGGCCUACCAAGGCGACGAUCCGUAACUGGUCUGAGAGGAUGAUCAGUCACACUGGAACUGAGACAAGGUCCAGACUCCUACGGGAGGCAGCAGUGGGGAAUAUUGGACAAUGGGCGAAAGCCUGAUCCAGCCAUGCCGCGUGUGUGAAGAAGGUCUUCGGAUUGUAAAGCACUUUAAGUUGGGAGGAAGGGCAGUAAGUUAAUACCUUGCUGUUUUGACGUUACCAACAGAAUAAGCACCGGCUAACUUCGUG